AAUUUGUGCAUGUUGAAGACUUGUCAUUUUAUCACCCAUUUCACUGUCCUCAGAUCACAAUUUCUUCAGUUUGCCACAUAAUGCUAAAUUUACCCUAUCCAUGGUAAAACCUUGUAGAUAGUUUAUUAUCUUUUCAGUGGCUCAAUUCUUUGGUGUUUCUGAGCAACAGGUAAGAAUAGCUCAUCUAUUCUUCAUCAACAAUUGACUGAGGCAAGAUUAUGUAACAGAAUAAGCUUUAUUUGGUCUGUUUCAUGAAUUCAUGAAGGUUUAGUUCAGUCCUUUUUUCUUUUUCUUUUUCUUUUCAGUCCUGCCCUAAAAUAUUGUUUUUAAAGAUCUCUGACAUUUUGAAUCAUAAAAGCUUUGGAAGAGCUCCUUCAUGCCCCACUCAGAACAAACACAAUCUGCAUUCAGAACAGGACCGUUUACAAGUUCAAUGGAGUUAUUUUGGAAGAAACCAAGAAUCUCAUCAAUGACCACUGAGGAAUAAACUAUAAAACACGUAAGGAAUUCCAAAGGAUUCACGAGAAGAAAAGAAUUAUUCCAGUCACACUUAUACUGGAAAGGAUUGUUGUGAGGAUUGACCAAGAUUACAGAUGUAAAGGUUCUUGAAACAGUGGCCCGGAGAUGGAAAAAAUGGAAAAUUCAUUAAGAGGCCAAAUGAACCAGCCUUCCUUAGAGGGAUUGGAUUCAGCUACACAGG